GGCCUUAUGGCGCAAUGGUAGCGCGUCAGAUUCCAGACUCUUGGGAGUCACCUGAAGGUUAGCCGUUCGAGUCGGUUUAGGGUCA